UACAGAGGGGGCGAAGCGUUGUUCGGAAUUACUGGGCGUAAAGGGCGCGUAGGCGGCCUGCUAAGUCGAACGUGAAAUCCCCGGACUCAACCCGGGAACUGCGUCCGAUACUGGCAGGCUUGAAUUCGGGAGAGGGAUGCGGAAUUCCAGGUGUAGCGGUGAAAUGCGUAGAUAUCUGGAGGAACACCGGUGGCGAAGGCGGCAUCCUGGACCGAAAUUGACGCUGAGGCGCGAAAGCUAGGGGAGCAAACAGG
rnacentral:rRNA from 1 species